rnacentral:pre_miRNA from 1 species
UGGACAGAUUAUCGUAUUCGACUGUAUUCACGGCGUGAAACGGGGGAUUACACUAUUUUUAAACGGAAAGUGAAUCAAUUAACAUAAUCGGCUCCU